UCUCCCGUGGCGCAGUUGGUUAGCGCGUCGUACUUAUAAGUGAAUGAGCCAUGCGAAUGUCGCGGGUUCGAGCCCCGCCGGGAGAA